CAGGGAUCUUCUCUUCCCAGAUGGCUGCCGAAGAUGGCGGAGGUGCAGGUCCUCAAUGGUCGAGGCCAUCUCCUGGGCCGCCUGGCGGCCAUCGUGGCUAAGCAGGCACUGCUGAGCUGGAAGGUGGUGGUCAUACGCUGCGAGGGCAUCAACAUUUCUAGCAAUUUCUACAGAAACAAGUUGAAGUACCAGUUUUCCUACGCAAGCAGAUGAACACCAAUUCUUUCAGAGGCCCCUACCACUUCCGGGACCCCAGUGGCAUCUUCCGGCGGACCGUGCGAGGCAUGCUGCCCCGCGGGGCCAAGUGAGGCCAGGCUGCCCUGGAGCACCCCAACAUGUUUGACGGCAUCCCACCACCCUAGGACAAGAAAAAGCGGGCGGUGGUUCUUGCUGCUCUCAAGGCCGUGAGUCUGAAGCCUACAAGAAAGUUUGCCUAUCUGGGGCACCUGGCUCACGAGGUUGGCUGGAAGAACCAGGCAGUGACAGCCACCGUGGAGGAGAAGAGGAAGGAGAAGGCCAAGAUCCCCUACCAGAAGAAGAAACAGCUCAUGAGACUACGGAAACAGGCCGAGAAGAACGUGGAGGAGAAAACUGACAAAUACACAGAGGUCCUCAAGACCCACGGACUCCUGGUCUGAGCCUGGUAAAGACUGUUAAUUCCUCAUGCUUGGCCUGCCUGCUCUUCCUCCAUCCUCAUCCUGGAAUGUGCGGGACCCGGGGGCAGCAGCAGUCCGGGUGCCACAGGCAGCCUGGGACAUAGGAAGCUGGGAGCAAGGAAAGGGUCUUAGUCACUGCCUUCUGAGAUUACUUGAAAGCACUCGGAGAAUUGUGCAGGUGUAAUUAUCUAUGACCAAUAGGAAGAGCAAGCAGUUCCUAUUAGCAAAAGGGAGUACGAAGACUAAUUGGAGGGGCCCUACCUUGUGAGUGGGGCAUUUGUUUAACUUUCCACCUGGUCCUAUACUAUACUCUGCAGCUGUUAGAAUGUGCAAGCGCUUGAGGACACCAUAAGCUUGCUGUUGUACAAAGGGUAUUUAUAGGAGCAUAGCAUGGGAAGAUGGGCAACCAAGGGGUUACAGGCAUUGCCCGUGCUCCUCACCUGUAUUUUGCAAUCAGAAUCAAAUCACUUAAAAA